GGUUUCCGCCCAGUCUCUGGGGACGCGGUGGCGGGGUCUGAAUCGCCUGGCUUCCAGGGAGUUUUGGGCGGGUCCCCGCACGGGAGCGUGGCAGGCGCUGGACUCGACAGCAGAUGUGGAACUGGAGAGCUUGGCGCGCCCUCAUACUUUGUCACACACCUACGCCACCAGACUGGGGUCGGGCCCCUCCGCGUUCUGCUCUGGAGGGCCUGGGUCUGGGCCCAGCAUAGCGCUUUUAGAAUCUCCUCAGCUGAAUCUGACGCUCAGCCGUAGGUGAAGCUUAGCCCGCUGUUUCAGGCCCCGCCGAUCUGGAAGGAGUGUCAGAGCUGGAGCGCGCGUGGCCUCAUCGGUGUUGGGGUCACCCCGGGGUUGCCAGGGCUCAUGGAGGGUCGUAGUCUGGAUUUUGUCACCCCCACGUCCCCGCCCCGCAGCAAGUCUGGGGUUGGAGAACUCACGCGGUCUUCGUAAGCUACAUGCCAGUUGACCCUCGAGGAGGGAUGCUCCCUCCCCUUAAGCGUCCACGCUGGAGAAGGAGUAAGAUGGACAAUUGCCUGGGGAGCCUGACAGGGCGGUGGCAGCUGGGAUGCUGGAGAGGACUGGCCCCUUGUGUUACUGAGUCCAAGGAAUAUGCUUGCUCUGCUCUAGGAACCGCGUUCAGGUUACAGUCAUCCCAGUAGAGUCCUGAAGAUGCGUGGUUCAGGUCACUUAGGACUUGACCAGAUACCGGGUUUCUUUUACAAGCCGUUUACUACUGGCAGAGCUCAUCUAAAACUUUUUUUGUUUGUUUGUUUGAGACGGAGUCUCAUUCUGUCGCCCAGGCUGGAGUGCAGUGGCACGAUUUUGGCUCACUGCAACCUCCGCUUCCCGGGUUCAAGCAGUUCUCUGCCUCAGCCUCCCGAGUAGCUGGGAUUACAGGCACCACCUAAUUAGCCCGCCACCACGCCCGGCUAAUUUUUGUAUUUUUAGUAGAGACGGGGUUUCACCAUCUUGGCUAGGCUGGUCUUGAACUCCUGACCUCGUGAUCCACCCGCCUCGGCCUCCCAGAGUGCUGGGAUUACAGGCGUGAGCCACCGCACCUGGCCUAAAACUGAUUUUUUAUUAAUUUUGGGGCUUUUAAUAUUUUUUUCUUAUUUCUAAAUUCUGAGGUUAUUUAUAGUAGCCCCAUAUACGGGAUUAGAUAAUCUCUUGUGAUUUUCUAUUUCUGGUAAUUAUUUCUAAUAUAUGUUUUUUUGUUUUUGAGACGGAGUCUCGCUAUGUCGCUCAGGGUGGAGUGCAGUGGCAUGAUCUCCGCUCUUUGUAGCCUCUGCCUCCCGGGUUCAAAUGAUCCUCCCACCUCAGCCCCCCGAGUAGCUUGGACCACAGGUGCAUGCCACCACGCCGGCUAAUUUUUCUAUUUUUGGUAGAGUUGGGGUUUCACUAUGUUGACCAGACUGGUCUAGAUCUCAAGGGAUUAGUCUCCCUUGGCCUCCCAAAAUGCUGGGAUAAUGGGCAUGAGCCACCGUGCGUGGCCUUAAAGUUACUAUUCUUAAAGUUUGCACAAGUGAUAUGUUAAAGGCACAGACUUAGUAAUAUAAUGUCAUUAUAAUAAUAACCCUAAAACACAUUGUCUCAUAUUGUGUUGUACCUAAACAAGUGAAAUUAAGAAGAAAAUUGAAGGAAAUGUUUCUGGUAAAUUGCAGAUAGUGAAUCUUUUGUCUUAUACUAUCAAAUAGGUAUUGACUAUUCCAGCUUUCUUAUUUGUUGAGGAAGAUGGCAGAAAUCCCGUUUUACAGAGGGAUAGACUUUGAAGGAUAAUACCCAAAGCUGCAUAGCUGUGGCUGGUAUAGGCCCCAAACCUGAUGUUUCUUCUCUAAAUCUACUGCCUUUGCCAUCUCAACAGCCUGGUUUUUGACAGUUAUCUAUGUAUGAGUUGCAUAAAUCGUUCAUUCAUGGAGCAAAUAAUUAUUGAGUGGCCACUAUGCCAACAGCACUGCUAUAGAUGCUAGAGAUACCCUAGUGAACCAGCAAAGUUUCUGCUCUCAGCUCAUAUUCUGGUGGAGGAGACAACGAUCAAGUUAAAGAAAUACAUAGGCUAAUUUUAGAGAUUAUGACAUGCUAUAUUUUAAAAAUAGGCAAGCUAAGAGGAUAGGCAGUGAUGCUGGGAGGUGGGAAAGUUUUGUCUCAGAAAUGUGGUAAGAGAUUUCUUUGGGCAUCUGACUUCAGCAGAAACCUUAAUGAAGAGAGGAACUUGGAAUGUAAAAGAAAGAAAGCAGGGAUUUGCUCUGAGCAACUGGAAAGAUGGAAUUGCCAUUCGCUGAGUUGAAAUAAAGUAAAAUGUAGGACUAGGUUUUGGGGUUAAGAUUAUGAAUUCGGCUUUAGACAUUUUUAGAUUUCUCUUAGACAUCCAAAUGGAGAGAAGAUAUUUAAAUCCAUGGGAUUGAAUGAGAUCCAACCAAGGGUAUUGUAGGUAGAGAGAGGACCAAAGACUGACACCUAGAACCUUUCAGUGUUCAGAAUGCAAGGAGACAGGAGGAACCAAGAGGGAAGAUUGAAAAGGAGAGUCCAGCUGGGAGCUGUGGCUACACCUUUACUAAUCCCAGCACUUUGGGAGACCAAAUACAGGAAGAUCACUUGAAUCCAGGAGUUUGUAGAACAGCCUUAGCAACAUAGCAAGACCCUGUCUCUACAAAAAUAAAAAUUAAAAAAUUUGCCUGUAAUCCGAGCAUUUUGGAGGCCGAGGUGGGUGGAUCAGCUGAGGUCAGGAGUUUGAGACCAACUUGGCCAACACAGUGAAACCCCGUCUCUACUAAAAAUACAAAAAUUAGCUGGGCGUGAUGGCUGGCACCUGUAAUCCCAGCUACUCGGGAGGCCGAGGCAGGAGAAUCCCUUGAACCUAGGAGGCAGAGGUUGCAGUGAGCCGAGAUCACGCCACUGCACUCCAGCCUGGGAGACAGAGCGAGACUCCAUCUCAAAAUAAAUAAAUAAAUAAAAAUUUAAAAAGUUAGCUGGGCGUGGUGGCAUGUACCUGUAGUCCCAGUUACUCAGAAGGCUGAGGUGGGAGGAUCCUGUGAGCCUAGGAGUUGGAAACUUCAGUAAGCUAUAAUCAUCACACUGCACUCCAACCUAGGCAACAGAGCAAGACCCUGUCUCUUAAAAGGAAAGGAGAGUCCAGUGUGUUCUAAGGAAAACCCCAAGAGCAUCCCACCUUAGAAUACAAGUGAGGAGGCCUGGCAUGGUGUCUCAUGCCUGUAAUCCCAGCACUUUGGGAGGCCAAGGUGGGUGGAUCACUUGAGGUCAGGAGUUCUAGACCAGCCUGACAAACAUGGCGAAACCUCCGUCUCUAUAAAAAUACAAAAAUUAGCCAGGUGUGGUAGCGCGUGCCUGUAAUCCCAGCUACUAGGGAGGCUGAGGCAGGAGAACUGCUUGAACUCAGGGGGCAGAGUUUGCAGUGAGCCGAGAUAGUGCCACUGCACUCCAGCCUGAGCAACAGAGUGAGACUCUGUCUCAAAAACAAACAAGUAAACAAACAAAAAAAAAAACAAGACAAGUGAAGAAUGUGUUUCAUGGAAAAAGAGGUAAUUAAUUCUGUCAAGUGUUGCAAAUUGGUCAAAUAAAGAAUGAAAAUCAACCUUUCACAGCAAAUAGAAGGAAAAAAUAUUUUUAUUUAAAUGCUUAUAAAGGCAGUUGCUAGAAAAAAUGUUUACUUUUUGCAGAGGCCCCGUUUUUACAACCUUUUUCAGGGGUAAUUUGAUAUGAUAAUAUCUACGGGAAAAAAAAUGUUUUUUUUUUUGAGUCGCUCUGUCACCAGGCUGGAGUGCAGUGGCAUGAUCUCGGCUCACUGAAACCUCCGCCUCCCAGGUUCAAGCAAUUCUUCUGCCUCAGCCUCCCAAGUAGCUGGGACUACAGGUGGGCGCCACCACACCCAGCUAAUUUUUGUAUUUUUAGUAGAGACGGGGUUUCACCAUGUUGGCCAGGAUGGUCUCAAUCUUGACCUCGUGAUCUGCCUUCCUUGGCCUCCCAAAGUGCUGGGAUUGGUACAGGUGUGAACCACCAUACCUGGCCCGAAAAUUUUAAAUUUGUAUUUUCUUUGACAUUGUAAUUCCACUUCCAGGAUUUUUUUUUUUUGGACAGGAUUUUACUCUGUCACCCAGGCUGGAGUGCAGUAACACAAUCAGCUCACUGCAACCCUGAACUCCUGGGCUAAAGUGAUCCUUCUGAGUAGUUGGGACUAUAGGCACAUGCCACCACCCCUGAUUAAUUAAAAAAUUUUCCUGUAGAGAUAGUCUUGCUAUGUUGCCCAGACUGGUCUCCAGCUCCUGGCCUCAAACCAUCCUCCCACCUUGACCUUCCAAAACGUUGGGAUUACAGGCGUGAGCCACCUCUCCCAGUUUAGGAAUUUAUCUUAAAGUAAUAUUUACAUAUAAAGAAAGAUGUAUAGGCUGGGUGCAGUGGUUCACGCCUGUAAUCCCAGCACUUUGGAAGGCCGAGGCUGGUGGAUCAACUGAGGUCAGGAGUUCAAGACCAACCUGGCUAACAUGGCGAAACCCCAUCUCUACUAAAAAUACAAAAAUUAGCUGGGCGUGGUGGCCAGCCCCUGUAAUCCCAGCUACUCGGGAGGCUGAGGCAGGAGGAUAGCUUAAACCCAGGAGACGAAGGUUGCAGUGAGCCAAGAUUACACCAUUGCACUCCAGCCUGAGCAACAAAAGCGAAACUCCAUCUCAAAAAAACAAAAACUAAAACUAAACAAAACAAAAAAACCAUGUGUAAAACUGUUAAUCACAACACUGAUUUCAAUAGCAAAAAACAAAAUUUCUGUCAGGAUGGAUGCAGUUGUUAAAGGAACAGCAGAUACAUAUGUAUAGACAUGUAAGAUAGCUUUCAUACUUUUUUUUUUGAGAUGGAAUUUCGUUCUUGUCACCCAGGCUGGAAUGCAAUGGUGAGAUCUAGGCUCCGCUUCUCAGGUUCAAGUGAUUCUCCUGCCUCAGCCUCCUGAGUAAGCUGGGAAUACAGGCGCCCGCCACCACGCCCAGGUAAUUUUUGUAUGUUUAGUAGAGACAGGGUUUCGCCAUAUUGGCGAGGCUUGUCUCAAACUCCUGACCUCAGGUGAUCCACCCACCUCCAAAAGUGUUGGGAUUACAGGCAUCACCCACCACGCGUGACCAGCUUUUAUACAUUUUUAAAUGAUAAAGACAGGUUAAUAAAAUGUAUAAUAUUAUGUUGCUAUAUCCAAAAAAAGGCCUUCUUUGAUUACACUAUCAAAAGUUACCUCUCCAUCUACAUCCCCAUUACUAUCUCAUUAACCUGUUUUAUUCAUAGCACUUACUACCAUCUAAAAUGACUUUAUUUCUUUAUAUUUUUGUUUGCUACCUGUCUUUUACACCAGAAUUUAAUUUUUAAGCUUUUUUUGUUUGUUUGUUUGUUUGUUUUGAGAUGGAGUCUUGCUCUGUUGCCCAGACUGGAGUGCAGUGGUGCGAUCUCAGCUCACUGCAACCUCUGCCUCCUGGGUUCAAUCAAUCCUCCUGCCUCAGCCUCCCAAGUAGCUGGGAUUACAGGCAUGUGCCACCAUGCCCAGCUAAUUUUUGCAUUUUUAGUACAGCAGGGUUUCACCAUGUUGGUCAAGCUGGUCUCAAACUCCUGACCUCAGGAGAUCCGUCAGCCUUGGCCUCCCAAAGUGUUGGGAUUACAGGCGUGAGCCACAGCACCCAGCCAGAAUUUAAACUUUAUAAGAGAUUUCCUGUCUUGUUCAUACUUAUAUACCUGCAGCUUCGAAACAUAUAUAUAUGUUUAAUAUAUAUAAUAGAUAUAUUUUAAAUUAUAUAUAGAGAGAUGGAGUUUCACUCUUGUUGCCCAGACUGGAGUGCAAUGGCGUGAUCUCGGCUCACCACAACCUCUGCCCCCCGGGUUCAAGCAAUUCUCCUGCCUCAGCCUCCAGAGUAGUUGGAAUUACAGGCACGUGCCACCAUGCCUGGCUAAUUUUGUAUUUUUAGUAGAGACAGAGUUUCUCCAUGUUGGUCAGGCUGGUCUCGAGCUCUUGACCUCAGGUAGUCUGCCUGCCUCGGCCUCACAAAGUGCUGGGAUUACAAGCAUGAGUCACUGUGCCCUGCCAGAAUUUAAGCUUUAUAAGAGAUUUCCUGUCUGUUUAUACUUAAAUACCUGCAGCUUGGAAACAUAUAUAUGUUUAUAUGUAUAUAUUACAUACAUUAUAUAUAUAUUUUUAUAUAUUAUAAUUAUAAACUCCUGACCUCAGGUGAUCCACCUGCCUCAGUCUCUCAAAUGCUGGGAUUACAGGCGUGAGCCACCACGCCAGGCCAGAAACAUAUUUUUAAAAAUCUUGUUUUAGAGGAAAAACAGAGUAUUUCUUUUUUUUUUUUUAUUAGAUGGAUUCUCACUCUAUUGCCCAGGCUGGAGUACAGUGGCACAAUCUUGGCUCACCGCAACCUCAGCCUCCCGGGUUCAAGCAAUUCUCCUGCCUCAGCCUCCCGAGUAGUUGGAACUAUAGGCGUGAGCCACCAUGCCCUGCUAAUUUUUGUAUUUUUAGUGCAGAUGGGGUUUCACUAUGUUGGCCAGGCUGGUCUCGAACUCCUGACCUUGUGAUCUGCCCACCUCGGCCUCCCAAAGUGCUGGGAUUACAGGUGUGAGCCACUGCGCCCGGCCUAUUUCUUCUUCUCUUUGUUUAGUUAUUAUCUAUUACUCUCAUUCCUAUGAACAUAACUUGUUUCUCCCCACUUAAUUUUUAUCAUACAUAAUUGUAGACAGUGGGCACUGUCUUCAAUUAUAGUGAAUUUAGCAGUAAAUUCACAUUAGACCAACUUGUAUAGCUUUAAAAAAUAUAUUUAUGUCUAGGUUCCACCCUUGACCAACUAAGUCAGAACUUGGGUGGGUUCAAGGUUCAUUAUUCUUUGAAGAUAAGAUGAUGUUUGAAUAAAAUUCCUGGUGAUUCUGGUAUCAAAAAUACAAAUUUGGGACAUACUUUUUCUGCUGUAAAAAUAUUUUCCUAAGGCCAGGCGCAGUGGCUCACGCCUGUAAUCCUAGCACUUUGGGAGACGGAGGCGGCGGAUCACUUGAGGCCAGGAGUUCAAGACCAGUCUGGCCAACAUGGUGAAACCCAGUCUCUACUAAAAAUAGAAAAAAUUAGCCAGGCAUGGUGGCACGUGCCUGUAGUCCCAGCUACUCAAGAGGCUGAGGCAGGAGAAUCCUUUGAACCCGGGAGGCAGAGGUUGCAGUGAGCCGAUAUUGCAGCACUGCACUCCAGCCUGGGUGACAGAUCAAAACUCUGUCUCAGAAAAAAAAAAAAAAAAAAAAAGAAUUUCCUAGAAUUAGAAUCGCAGGGGUUUUUUUUGUUUUGUUUGUUUGUUUGUUUGUUUGUUUUUGAGACAGAGUUUCACUCCUGUCGCCCAGGCUGGAGUGCAAUGCCAUGAUCUCGGCUCAUUGCAACCUCUGCCUCCUGAGUUCAAGCAAUCCUCCUGCCUCAGCCUCCCGAAUAGCUGGGAUUACAGGCACCUGCCACCAUGCCCAGCUAAUUUUUGUAUUUUUAGUAGAGACUGGGUUUUACCAUGUUGGCCAAGCUGGUCUCGAACUCCUGACGUCAGGUGAUCCACCCAGCUCAUUCUCCCAAAGUGCUGGAAUUACAAGCAUGAGCCACUGCACUCGGCCUUUAUUUAUUUAUUUAUUUUUGAGAUGAAGUCUUGCUCUGUUGCCCAAGCUGGAGUGCAAUGGCAUGAUCUCGGCUCACUGCAACCUCCACCUCCCAGGUUCAAGCAAUUCUCCUGCCUCAGCCCCCUGAGUAGCUGGGAUUACAGGCGUGCACCACCACGCCUGGCUAAUUUUUGUAUUUUUAGUAGAGACAGGGUUUCACUAUGUUGGUCAGGUUAGUCUCGAGCUCCUGACUUCGUGAUCCGCCCGCCUCAGCCUUCCAAAGUGUUGGGAUUACAGGCGUGAGCCACCGCGCCUGGCCAGAAUCCCAGUUUUUUAACACAUCUAAUGCUUUAGGAAUAGUAAAUGGAAACAUCAUUUCCCCUUCUUUCGAAGUACUUCUACCUUGAUGAGAUGUAUGUAUUGGAGUACAAUAUUUGACCUAGCCAAGAAUUUCACAAAAGAAGCCCAAAAUAUGAUUUUCACGUUUACUGGACUGUUCACUUUUGGUGGGAUCACUUUCUUAAGAUUACUUAAAGUACUAAUGCUUGAUGAAAAUCAUUUGUGUUUUCACUUCAUUAAUUGGAGAAAGAGCUACAUGUUUUUGUUGUUGUUGUUGUUGUUUUGAGAUGGUGUCUUGCUCUGUCUCCCAGGCUGGAGUGCAAUGGCGUGAUCUCAGCUCACUGCAACCUCCGCCUCCCGGGUUCAAGCGAUUCUCCUGCCUCAGCCUCCUGAGUAGCUGGGACUACAGGCGCCUGCCACCACGCCCAGCUAAUUUUUAUACUUUUAAUAGAGACAGGGUUUCACCAUAUUGGCCAGGAUGGUCUCAAUCUCUUGACCUUGUGAUCCACCCGCCUUGGCCUCCCAAAGUGCUGGGAUUACAGGCGUGAGCCACUGCGCCCAGCCAGAGCUACAGGUUUUACUGUAACACUUUAGAAGGUCCUUUUUCUUUGUACCUCUGUGAUGUGUUCACCUAGCAACAGCUUCUUUGAUAUGCAAACAUUCUACAGGCAAAUUGCUCAGAGCAGCUACUCAUGUUGGACAAUUCAGGUCUCUUCUGGAAACUGGCCUUGUAUUUGGAAUUUUCUCCAGAGUCUGAUGUGAGUACGAGUACAUCUGGUUGAAAGAGAAAAGGCAGAGAGAAAAGCAGACUUUUUGGAGUUGUUGUUCUCAGGCACUAACAGAUUCAUCCCUUAUAUGCAUAUGAAUGGACAAUAAGAUUUCUUGGAUAUUUUCAUGGCAAAGCUUUCCUUCUAUGUCUUGGUUUUACACGACAAGAAGCCCAGAAACUGAACUUGCUUACUCAGCUCCCGAGGUUGAAGGUGGCAAGAAGGUGGGUAAGAGUGAAGCUAUCCUGGACAAGAACUUUGACAGGACAAUACUAUUCACUCUGAAGGACCAAAAAAUGAGCAGAAAAUUUGGGAUAAAUGUCAACAAGAUUUGAACCCUAAAGAAAAGCAAGCAUCGAGUUAGACAGACGUCCAUAUUCAUUCAACUGGGAAAAUAAAACUGCAGUCCCAACAUCAGAAUUUCCUUGGUCAGUUGGUUAUUGCGGGACAGCAUUCUUCUGCAUGACAGUAUUGUCUCCUUACCAGCCACAGAGGAGGCUGUGAGAGAGAGGAUUUGGGAAAUUGGUGCAAAUGAGAAAUCUUGGAAAUCUAGAACUAAAGCCUUUCAGCAGGAAAUCCAGAUGCUCACUAAGUGACUAGAGCAGCUGCAUCAUCUUUAAGAAGAAGGUGCUCAAGAAUCAUCCCAAGCUGAAGAAAAAAGUAUUGGGAACAAAAAAGACCCUUGAAAUGUCUAGAAAGAAAAAUUGAGAUCAAGGACUUUUUCAAGAGAGAUUAGACUUGGACAGGAAGAAAGUAAGAAUUUCCUGAAGUAUAAGCAUUCCUUUGAUAAUGAAAAUGAUUGCAUUUUAUUCAUAACUUUAACUUUAUCUAAUGUUUGAAGCUGUUAAUACUGUUAAUACUUUUCUCCACAUUGGGAAAGGGGGGAAAUUUGCUACAAACUCUGAAAGCUUCCGAUUUUAUUUUAUUUAUUUAUUUAUAUUUUUUGAGAGAGAGUCUCGCUCUGUCACCAGACUGGAGUGCAGUGACGCUAUCUUGGCUCACUGCAACCUCUGCCUCCUGGGUUCAAGCGAUUCUCCUGCCUCAGCCUCCCGAGUAGCUGGGACUACAGGCACGCGCCACCAUGCCCAGCUAAUUUUUGUAUUUUUAGUAGAGACGAGGUUUCACCAUUUUAGCCAGGAUGGUCUCAAUCUCUUGACCUUAUGAUCCACCUGCCUCAGCCUCCCAAAGUG
rnacentral:lncRNA from 1 species